ensembl:lncRNA
GGUACUUACGUUUUGCCCUGCGUGCUCGUGCUCAAAUCAUUUUGACGCACUAUGAGAGGAUGAUAUCAACAUUCUGAAUUCAACAUGUGGUUAAUAGCAGGCUAUUUUAUUGUAUGUGUGAACGAUGGCCAGCUCCUCGAAUGAUCCCAGACCCUCCUAUCGUGCAUCUGUUGUAGAAAGAGGUGACGAUUCUCAGAACAUAAUGUGGCUCUACAAAUGUUUGAUUUCCUUUUGGAUGCAGUUCCCCCUGAGGAGGCAGGAUCUAAUGAGGGGGAGGGAGCUGAGGUCUGAAAUGGAAUCUAAAAUCAGGUAAUGAUAGAUGUAUCCAAGGCAACGGUUCUUAAAGUUCUACUGCUACCUCACUUCCUGGUGAGAGUCAUUGAACCAUAGCUAAAGAGACUUAUACCCAGGCUAACAUUCCACAUUCCUAGCCACGCCUUGUCAUUUACUAAAAAGACUAGCCUUUCAUCACUCUUCAAAUAUGAACAUUUUCUCAAUAAUGAGCUCAAGGAGAUCAGAGAAUUUGAUCCUGAUUAAAUAACCCUCACCGCUAUCAUCCAAUCACAAUAUUUAUGCAAAUUAGACUGACAGGAAAACGUUCCUUAAUUCUUAAUACUAACAUUGGGCAUUCUGACGUAAUACAUUUCAUUAUAAACAUCAACGUUGGGCACAGCCAAUGGGAGCACAUCAGAGAAGCUCUCGCCAUUCAUUGUGAACAUUGUAAUAUAUCCAGUAAGCAAGGUGCUUCUUUCCUCAAAUAUAUAUUGUUCAAAGUAAGAGACCAAACUAUAUCGCUACUUCUGGGACACAUUGGGCUAGGCUAUAAUAUAAUAUAAUGUAGAGAAUUGCUCAAGAAGGGAAUAGUGAAGACAGAGUUGUGUAAGUUGGCCUCCCGAGUGGCGCAGAGUGGUGGUCUAAGUGGCCUAAGGCGCUGCAUCACAGUGCUAUCUGUGCCACUAGAGAUUCUGGGUUCGAGUCCAGCUGGCCACGACCGAAGGACCCAUGGGGCGGCGCACAAUUGUCCCAGCGUCGUCCGGGUUAGGGGAGGGAUGUCCUUGUCCCAUUGCGCACCAGCGACUCCUGUGGCGGGCCGGGUGCAGUGCAUGCUGACACAGUCACCAGGUGUAUGGUGUUUCCUCCGACACAUUGGUGCCAAGAAGCAGUCGGGUCGUGUUUCGGGGGACGCACGGCUCUCGACCUUCCCGAGUCCGUACGGGAGUUGAAGCGAUGAGACAAGACUGUAAAAGAAAAAGCCUGGGCUAUUAAUACACAAUUCGUAUGCUAGCCUACAGUGAAUUUAAUACACAAUUUGUAUGCUAGCCUACAGUGAAUU